GUAGGGAGUAAGCGUUUGUUCGGAAUCAUUGGGCGUAAAGAGCGCGUAGGCGGCUUGGCAAGUCUGGUGUGAAAUCUCACAGCUCAACUGUGAAACUGCAUCGGAAACUGCCAGGCUUGAGUGCGGGAGAGGAGAGUGGAAUUCCCAGUGUAGAGGUGAAAUUCGUAGAUACUGGGAGGAACACCAGUGGCGAAGGCGGCUCUCUGGACCGCAACUGACGCUGAGGCGCGAAAGCUAGGGGGGAGCAAACGGGAUUAGAUACCCCGGUAGUCCUAGCCGUAAACGAUGGGCACUAGGUGUAGGGGGGUAUUGACCCCUUCUGUGCCGCAGCUAACGCAUUAAGUGCCCCCGCCUGGGAGUACGGUCGCAAGACUA
rnacentral:rRNA from 1 species